rnacentral:rRNA from 1 species
UACGUAGGUGGCAAGCGUUGUCCGGAUUUACUGGGUGUAAAGGGCGUGCAGCCGGGAAGACAAGUCAGAUGUGAAAUCCCGCGGCUCAACCGCGGAACUGCAUUUGAAACUGUUUUUCUUGAGUACCGGAGAGGUCAUCGGAAUUCCUUGUGUAGCGGUGAAAUGCGUAGAUAUAAGGAAGAACACCAGUGGCGAAGGCGGAUGACUGGACGGCAACUGACGGUGAGGCGCGAAAGCGUGGGGAACAAACAGG